rnacentral:rRNA from 1 species
CAGUCGCCACGGGAAAACGAAGGGGGCUAGCGUUGCUCGGAAUGACUGGGCGUAAAGGGCGCGUAGGCGGUCCGGAUAGUCAGAUGUGAAAUUCCUGGGCUUAACCUGGGGGCUGCAUUUGAUACUGUCGGGCUUGAGUAUGGAAGAGGGUCGUGGAAUUCCCAGUGUAGAGGUGAAAUUCGUAGAUAUUGGGAAGAACACCGGUGGCGAAGGCGGCGACCUGGUCCAUAACUGACGCUGAGGCGCGAAAGCGUGGGGAGCGAACAGGAUUAGAUACACCAGUAGUCCCUGUCUCUUAUAC